UACGUAGGGUCCGAGCGUUGUCCGGAAUUACUGGGCGUAAAGAGCUCGUAGGUGGUUUGUCGCGUUGUUCGUGAAAACUCACAGCUUAACUGUGGGCGUGCGGGCGAUACGGGCAGACUGGAGUACUGCAGGGGAGACUGGAAUUCCUGGUGUAGCGGUGGAAUGCGCAGAUAUCAGGAGGAACACCGGUGGCGAAGGCGGGUCUCUGGGCAGUAACUGACGCUGAGGAGCGAAAGCGUGGGGAGCGAACAGGA
rnacentral:rRNA from 1 species